UCUCAAACUUCCUACGCUG
rnacentral:snRNA from 1 species